rnacentral:rRNA from 1 species
UAGGGAAUCUUCCGCAAUGGACGCAAGUCUGACGGAGCAACGCCGCGUGAGUGAAGAAGGAUUUCGGUUCGUAAAACUCUGUUGUUAGAGAAGAACAGCGCAUAGAGUAACUGUUAUGCGUGUGACGGUAUCUAACCAGAAAGCCACGGCUAACUACGUGCCAGCAGCCGCGGUAAUACGUAGGUGGCAAGCGUUGUCCGGAUUUAUUGGGCGUAAAGCGAGCGCAGGCGGUCAAUUAAGUCUGAUGUGAAAGCCCCCGGCUCAACCGGGGAGGGUCAUUGGAAACUGGGUGACUUGAGUGCAGAAGAGGAGAGUGGAAUUCCAUGUGUAGCGGUGAAAUGCGUAGAUAUAUGGAGGAACACCAGUGGCGAAGGCGACUCGCUGGUCUGUAACUGACGCGGAGGCUCGAAAGCGUGGGUAGCAAACAGG